rnacentral:rRNA from 1 species
GGUACAGAGGGUCGCUACACAGUGAUGUGAUGCCAAUCUCACAAAGCCGUUCUCAGUUCGGAUCGGAGUCUGCAACUCGACUCCGUGAAGCUGGAAUCACUAGUAAUCGCGUAUCAGCAAUGACGCGGUGAAUACGUUCCCGGGCCUUGUACACACCGCCCGUCAAGCCAUGGAAGUUUGGUAGACCUGAAGCUGGUGCUCGUCACAGAAGCCAGUUAGGGUAGAACAAGUAACUGGGGCUAAGUCGUAACAAGGUAGCCGUACCGGAAGGUGCGGCUGGAUCACCUCCUUUCUGGA